rnacentral:rRNA from 1 species
UACAGAGGUCUCAAGCGUUGUUCGGAAUCAUUGGGCGUAAAGCGCGUGUAGGCGGUUCGGUAAGUCCGCUGUGAAAGUCGGGGGCUCAACCCUCGGAUGCCGGUGGAUACUGUCGGGCUUGAGUACGGAAGAGGCGAGUGGAAUUCCUGGUGUAGCGGUGAAAUGCGCAGAUAUCAGGAGGAACACCAAUUGCGAAGGCAGCUCGCUGGACGUACUGACGCUGGAGACGCGAAAGCGUGGGAGCAAACAGGAUAGAAACCCCUGGUAGUC